CACCUCUUCGUCAAAAGGAGAGCUCCUACUAUUAUGGGAAGACACACGUACUUCCUUGCAGUUUUCCGACUUGGAAAAGUGAAUCAGGUCAUCAUUGUACAUGUCCUGAGUGUUGAGGAGAUCACUGUAUUCUUUCUGGCUCAAAUCUUCAGGAUUAAUGCCGUUCGCUCGCAAGAACUCCUGCCCGUCCCAGGAUCUUGGUGUUGUCACAGUCGAACUGGUGGCUCUCCUUGUCCAUGUGGAUUGAGAUGAACCUCAUCUUCACCUUCUCUGCUUUAACAGUUCCAGCCUAUCUGAUCUAUCCAUGCUACUGACACCCCUCAUUCCCUGGAAUAAUUCUAAUAAAUCCCUUUUGCAAAGAUACAAGUGCUACAUACAUCUUCUGACUCAAAGACGUGGCAGAUCAUCUUGUACUGCCUCUUCCCAUCAUGGGAAGGGUGAGAUGCUUCCACACUGUCCUGGGAAUUGGAUCGAGGCAUACGUCGACGUGCCAUCAGCACAACAAUAUUCCCAAUGUCUGCGAUGUACGAAAUAGUCCGUAAGGGAUGGUCCAUCAUAGUUUCCUAAGAAAAGGAACGGGAGAGUGACAAGGUAGAAAUUGAGCAGAAUGUUCAACAAUACCAAUA